CUGACCUCAAAUCAGGUA
rnacentral:rRNA from 7 species